rnacentral:rRNA from 1 species
GACGAACCUGACGAACGUUAUUCGGAAUUACUGGGCUUAAAGGGUGCGUAGGCGGCGCGACAAGUUGGGUGUGAAAUCCCUCGGCUCAACCGAGGAACUGCGCUCAAUACUGUCGUGCUCGAGGGAGACAGAGGUGAGCGGAACUUAGGGUGGAGCGGUGAAAUGCGUUGAUAUCCUAAGGAACACCAGUAGCGAAAGCGGCUCACUGGGUCUCUUCUGACGCUGAGGCACGAAAGCUAGGGGAGCAAACAGG